rnacentral:lncRNA from 1 species
AUAUAUGACAUAAGAUUUAGAUAUAGAAAUCAAAUAGAGAAAAAUAAAUUAAGAACAUACCUUAGCAUAGAUCAAUCUUCACCACGAAUUGAUGAUCAUGGAUGUCUUUCGAAGGUCCCUUAUAGCCGCACAAGUGUCCGACCUCUACGAAUAUCCACACGAGAUUUUGAUUUGAUCAGAAGUCUUUUGAUCUUAUCGAAGUACUAGUUUUCUUGCAG